rnacentral:tRNA from 1 species
GGAGAGGUGCGAGAGUGGUUGAAUCGGGCGGUCUCGAAAACCGCUGUACUCUUACGGGUACCGUGGGUUCGAAUCCCACCCUCUCCGCCA